GAGACACCCUUCUGGGGCAAGACUUGCUUCAGUGGGGCUUUGGUGUUCACAGAGUCUGCCCCCUGAGUGUGUCCCU
rnacentral:pre_miRNA from 1 species